AGAGAGAGAAAAUGGUAGAAACCGAGAGGCAGCGUGGCUAGCCCACCUUCUCCGGUGGUGGAGCCACGACAGAGCGGUAAUGGAGUCACGGCAGAGAUGUGGUGGAGUCACGACGGAGCUGUGGUGGAGUCAUGGCGGAGUUGUUGCAGCGCCCCCUCAUUCGAUUAUAGUCGAUUACUAGUGAAGCUCAGGCGACUUCUCCAGUCACCGAUCCGGUUCUGUAGGUAAAUACAUCUUACAGUCGAUUACUGUGUGAUUGUUAGUGCCUGACUUCUCUAAUUUUUUUUUCUAUGGCAACCCUUUUGCUCGAUUAGGGUCCACGAAAGGGCUGUUAUGAGUUUGAGGGUCUGAGAAAAGAUUACUGAAGAUCCCACCAUGGCGUGGCAGGGUUGCAGGAUGGUAGGUGAACACCUGCAACCUCCCCUGCAGCCAUGGUGGUUUCCCAAUUUCGCAAACUCUGAGCCUAUCUGUACGAGAUUAGGGAUGAAUCAAAGUUGUUAUUUCUUAUGCAGACUCUGUUCUCGAUGAUUACGCCGUUGUUGUUUUAAACCCUCAUUUUAGGGGUUGCGAGAACCGAUUGUUGUUUGUAGCGUUUUUUAGUUGAUUUGAGGCCUGGGAAUUGUUCCAUUGAAUGCCAUGAGGUAUCCGAGAUUCAAAGGCUAUGAUGAGAAAUCUGAGCCACCUUAUCGUGAAAAUUUAAGACUUGGCACAUACUGUGUUAAUUUUGAAAUUGUUUGGUGCUGACAUAUUUCUAUGAGGUAGCCGUUGCCAGAGAUUUAGGGGUUGUGAUGGUUACCCAAGCCCCCUAUAUUGUAAAAGUCAUUUAUUGUAGAAAUAGUACGUGUAUGGCGUUUGGUAAAAUGGCAAGGGUUCUUUUGCUUGGCUGACUCGCCUAACAGAUAGUGGACAUGAGCAGAGCCAAUAGAAAAUAGCAUUCAUAAUGUCAUAUUCAAGUUAUCGCGAAUUGUUAUGUCAUGGAAACAGAUGGUUAUAGUGUUAUAGUGUAUUUGUGAGAUUACAUUUUCAUUGGCUUGCCUUAUUAUUGAGAUUUUGUAUGUUUUUGCAGCAUUGUUGUUGGGAGAUGAUGAUAACUUAGGUUGGUGGGUGUUUGCAAGUUGUUAUCACGUAUCAUAUAAAUUGGUAGUUUUGUUUUUGAUAAACGUUUUCAGUUGUUAACACAUUGAUUGUGCUGAUGCAAGAUGUAGUUACAUUUCAAACAAUCUAAAAAAAAACCACAAUUUGAAUGAUGAUACAUAUUAACUUAGUCUCUUCUGCUUUUAAUUUUAGGGUAUUCUAGGGCCGAUUGCGACUUUGGUAUCCGUUUGCUGAAUGGAUUACUUCAAAUUGAAGUUCUGUUUGACACUGAAGGGCGCAAGCGAGGACUUGACAUAGGCGCAAAGAGACAACGCGCAACGGAGUAGUGACGAGGAAGAUGAUCUGAGUGCGACAUAGGCUUUGCUGCAAAAAGCAUAGGAACCUGAUGCACUGAUGUGUAGAUUUCAUGGUGUGUAUGAAAAGUUGAGUGAGGUUUUGGAUAAAUUUGUGUAUAAAGAAGUUGGAAUCACAAAAGAAGUUCAAGAGUAAGUAAGUAUUUUAUGUAGCAGCGGAGAUUAAAUGCUCAUAUGUCAAAUUUAGGGCUUUUUAAAUAUGUGAUUUGUAGAUGUGACUGUAGGAAAAAAGAACUUACCUAAAAAUACUGUGUACCCGCCCGCAACGCGACGGGUGCUUUUCUAGUUUAAUAUAAUCAGAAUGUUAGACUGCUAUAUUGUCCUUUAUAUACAAAACCUCAUGUAACCGUAAAAUAACAACACAAUCAAUACAAUAUAAUAUUACUACUCUCAGCUAACCAAAAGAAUAUAAAUUAUCACCAUCCUUCACUAUCCCCACCAAUAUUACUGUCACCACCACUUUUACAACGACCACCACAACCACAACCACACCUCAUUUCAUAUACUUCCAUGACCACCACCUCUACCACCAUUGUCACUACAUUCUGAUUCCUUUAAUAGACUUACAAACUGAUGUGAUUAAAAUACAACAUAUAAAUUAUGUCAAAUACGACGUAAAAGCAACCCUUUUUUAGUACUAAGGUUGGAAAAAGCUCGUGUUUUCGUUCCUUUUAUAUUUUCAGGGAUAAAAGAGCUUAAGUUGGCAAAAUGAGCAAAAAGACAGCAAAAUCCAACAUAAAUGUAAAGAAGAAGGAAUUGUUGCAGCUCGCCAAGCCCCGAUUCACAUCCAAACCUUAAAAUAACAAGAACAGAAGGCUGACACGGGGCCGUGUCCACCUGACACGGGCUGUGUCCAAGGAUGGAUACUGGGCAGAAGAAAAAGACAACUGCAAAAGACAAAAAUGGUAGCCAACACGGGGCCGUGCUAGGCCAACACGGGGCGUGGUCAACUCGAAGAUUUGCAGAAUCUACGAUAGUACAGCAAGUACUUUGGCCACAGGCCAUGCCGUUGACACACGGGGCCGUGUUAGUACAACAUCUGACAAGCAAUUAAUGAGGAAGAAAGAGAGAGAGAGAGAGAGAGAGAGAGAGAGAGAGCAAGAUGGGCACGGGUCGUGUUGAAGCUUCUGUUUACAGCUAUAUAUAGAAGUGCUUGGUUCCACUUCAACUCAUCCCUUGGCAAACCACUUCUCUCUCACUUGCCACCACUCCACCACCACUACAACACCAUCAUCCACCACCAUCAUCCGUUUUCCAUCUUUAGAGUGUGUGUGUAGACUCGGGAUCGAAGAUUGAUCAUAAGAAUCUUUGUCAAACAAAGGCCAUGCUUGGCUAAAUUCUUACAUCACUUGGUGAA